GGCAAACGGUUGAGUAACACGUAGACAACCUGCCCGGAAGACGGGGAUAACUCGGGGAAACUCGGGCUAAUACCGGAUGUGGAAGCGCGGGGCAUCCCGCGUUCUCUAAAUGGAGCAAUCCGCUUCCGGAUGGGUCUGCGGCCUAUCAGCUAGCUGGUGGGGUAACGGCCUACCAGGGCGACGACGGGUAGCUGGUCUGAGAGGAUGACCAGCCAGACGGGGACUGAGACACGGCCCCGACUCCUUCGGGAGGCAGCAAUGAGGAAUAUUGCACAAUGGGCGAAAGCCUGAUGCAGCGACGCCGCGUGGGUGAUGAAGUUCUUCGGAAUGUAAAGCCCUUUUGCAGGGGACGAAAAAAAUGACGGUACCCUGCGAAUAAGCCCCGGCUAACUACGUGCCAGCAGCCGCGGUAAUACGUAGGGGGCAAGCGUUGUUCGGAGUUACUGGGCGUAAAGGGUGUGUAGGCGGUUCUCUAAGUUUGGUGUGAAAUCUCCCGGCUCAACCGGGAGGGUGCGCCGAAAACUGGAGGACUGGAGUGCGGGAGAGGAGAGUGGAAUUCCUGGUGUAGCGGUGAAAUGCGUAGAUAUCAGGAGGAACACCGGCGGUGUAGACGGCUCUCUGGACCGUAACUGACGCUGAGACACGAAAGCGUGGGGAGCAAACAGGAUUAGAUACCCUGGUAGUCC
rnacentral:rRNA from 1 species